rnacentral:sRNA from 1 species
GACAUUUGCACCUGUUGCUGCUGCUGCUGUUGCUGCUGCUGCUGUGUCGGCGGCUGUUGCUGUUGCUGCUGCUGUUGAUAUC